UACGUAGGGCGCAAGCGUUGUCCGGAAUUAUUGGGCGUAAAGAGCUCGUAGGCGGUCUGUCGCGUCUGCCGUGAAAACCCGAGGCUUAACCUCGGGCUGGCGGUGGAUACGGGCAGACUAGAGGUAGGUAGGGGAGAAUGGAAUUCCCCGGUGUAGCGGUGAAAUGCGCAGAUAUCGGGAGGAACACCGGUGGCGAAGGCGGUUCUCUGGGCCUUACCUGACGCUGAGGAGCGAAAGCGUGGGGAGCAAACAGGAU
rnacentral:rRNA from 1 species